rnacentral:rRNA from 1 species
AUUAGUCUUUUAAUUGAAGACUGGUAUGAAUGGCUAAACGAGAAAUUAGCUUUUUUUGUUAAUUAAAUUGAAUUUAAUUUUUUAGUGAAAAAGCUAAAAUUUAUCAGAAAGACGAGAAGACCCUAUAGAGUUUUAUAUUGAAUAAAUUUUUUUCUUAAUAGAUUUUUUUAGAAUAAAUUUUAGAAAAUAUUUUGUUGGGGCGACAUUAAGAUAAAAAAAACUCUUUAUUUUAAAAAUUUUUAUAAAAAGAUAAUUUGAUCCUCUAUAAGAGAUCAAAAGAAAAAAUUACCUUAGGGAUAACAGCGUAAUCUUUUUUGAGAGUUCUAAUCGACAAAAAGGUUUGCGACCUCGAUGUUGGACUAAAAUUUAGGCAGGGUGCAGCAGCUCUGCUUUUAGGUCUGUUCGACCUAUAAUAUUUUACACGAUCUGAGUUCAGACCGGCGUAAG